rnacentral:sRNA from 1 species
AGAUUAGGCCUUUCAGGCAUCCUCUCCUAAUACUGUGGUCGACCUUUUGGUCGACCUUUUUUUUUAUGACA